CCUACGGGAGGCAGCAGUGAGGAAUAUUGGUCAAUGGUCGGGAGACUGAACCAGCCAAGCCGCGUGAGGGAUGAAGGUACAGAGUAUCGUAAACCUCUUUUGUCAGGGAACAAAGGCGCGGACGUGUCCCCGGAUGAGUGUACCUGAAGAAAAAGCAUCGGCUAACUCCGUGCCAGCAGCCGCGGUAAUACGGAGGAUGCGAGCGUUAUCCGGAUUUAUUGGGUUUAAAGGGUGCGCAGGCGGUCUGUUAAGUCAGCGGUAAAAGCCCGGGGCUCAACCCCGGCCCGCCGUUGAAACUGGCAGUCUCGAGUUGGAGAGAAGUAUGCGGAAUGCGCGGUGUAGCGGUGAAAUGCAUAGAUAUCGCGCAGAACUCCGAUUGCGAAGGCAGCAUGCCGGCUCCACACUGACGCUGAGGCACGAAAGCGUGGGUAUCGAACAGGAUUAGAUACCCUUGUAGUC
rnacentral:rRNA from 1 species